rnacentral:rRNA from 1 species
CACGUAGGGGCCAAGCGUUGUCCGGAUUUAUUGGGCGUAAAGAGCUCGUAGGCGGCUCGGUAAGUCGGGUGUGAAACCUCCAGGCUCAACCUGGAGACGCCACCUGAUACUGCUGUGGCUAGAGUCCGGUAGGGGAGCGUGGAAUUCCUGGUGUAGCGGUGAAAUGCGCAGAGUAUCAGGAGGAACACCAGCGGCGAAGGCGGCGCUCUGGGCCGGAACUGACGCUGAGGAGCGAAAGCGUGGGUAGCAAACAGG